rnacentral:rRNA from 1 species
AAUGAACGCUGGCGGCGCGCCUAAUACAUGCAAGUCGAGCGAGAAGACGUAGCAAUACGUUUGUAAAGCGGCGAACGGGUGAGGAAUACAUGGGUAACCUACCCUCGAGUGGGGAAUAACUAGCCGAAAGGUUAGCUAAUACCGCGUACGCUCCUUGGACUUCGGUUCAGGGAGGAAAGCGAUACCGUGGGUAUCGCGCUCUUGGUUGGGCUCAUGUCCUAUCAGCUUGUUGGUGAGGUAACGGCUCACCAAGGCUUCGACGGGUAGCUGGUCUGAGAGGACGAUCAGCCACACUGGCACUGCGACACGGGCCAGACUCCUACGGGAGGCAG